rnacentral:rRNA from 1 species
GGGGAGCCGAAGGGAAACCGAGUCUUAACUGGGCGUUAAGUUGCAGGGUAUAGACCCGAAACCCGGUGAUCUAGCCAUGGGCAGGUUGAAGGUUGGGUAACACUAACUGGAGGACCGAACCGACUAAUGUUGAAAAAUUAGCGGAUGACUUGUGGCUGGGGGUGAAAGGCCAAUCAAACCGGGAGAUAGCUGGUUCUCCCCGAAAGCUAUUUAGGUAGCGCCUCGUGAAUUCAUCUCCGGGGGUAGAGCACUGUUUCGGCAAGGGGGUCAUCCCGACUUACCAACCCGAUGCAAACUGCGAAUACCGGAGAAUGUUAUCACGGGAGACACACGGCGGGUGCUAACGUCCGUCGUGAAGAGGGAAACAACCCAGACCGCCAGCUAAGGUCCCAAAGUCAUGGUUAAGUGGGAAACGAUGUGGGAAGGCCCAGACAGCCAGGAUGUUGGCUUAGAAGCAGCCAUCAUUUAAAGAAAGCGUAAUAGCUCACUGGUCGAGUCGGCCUGCGCGGAAGAUGUAACGGGGCUAAACCAUGCACCGAAGCUGCGGCAGCGACGCUGAUGCGUUGUUGGGUAGGGGAGCGUUCUGUAAGCCUGCGAAGGUGUGCUGUGAGGCAUGCUGGAGGUAUCAGAAGUGCGAAUGCUGACAUAAGUAACGAUAAAGCGGGUGAAAAGCCCGCUCGCCGGAAGACCAAGGGUUCCUGUCCAACGUUAAUCGGGGCAGGGUGAGUCGACCCCUAAGGCGAGGCCGAAAGGCGUAGUCGAUGGGAAACAGGUUAAUAUUCCUGUACUUGGUGUUACUGCGAAGGGGGGACGGAGAAGGCUAUGUUGGCCGGGCGACGGUUGUCCCGGUUUAAGCGUGUAGGCUGGUUUUCCAGGCAAAUCCGGAAAAUCAAGGCUGAGGCGUGAUGACGAGGCACU